rnacentral:ncRNA from 1 species
GGAGAUAAGUUUCAAAGUAAAAUUUCGUGGUUGUAAACAUAAUAAAAUAAGAAAAAAGUUUUUACGAACCUACAAACAAGAAUAUCCACUUUGAAAUCCAGCGACGAAGAAAAUUGUGAAAUCAUAGUUGCGAAAUGAGGGAGAAAGGGUGAAAGGGAAUCAAGUUAAAAAACAUGAACUCGAACGUGGCAGUUAACGACAACAUUAGGAAGUCCGAAGCCUUGAGAAGAAUUAUCUUUUCUUUUAAUAGUUUGGCCACACUGGAAUCGGCUCAGUAAGAGGUAGGGUCCAUGGGCUGGAAGAGCACCGCAUGUCGUAUGGUGUCCAAUGUUCUCCUGAUGGCCCUAAAAAUCUGAAAGAUUGAAUGUCUUCCACACCCAAUCGUACUCACGACCGCAUUAGGUCUCCAAGGUGAACAACAUUU